CGGCAACAGCUCAAAUUUGAAAUCUGGCCUUUGGCCCGAGUUGUAAUUUGUAGAGGAUGCUUUUGGUGCGGUGCCUUCCGAGUUCCCUGGAACGGGACGCCUUAGAGGGUGAGAGCCCCGUACGGUUGGACGCCUAGCCUCUGUAAAGCUCCUUCGAC
rnacentral:rRNA from 1 species